GGCACCAAUCGGCGCCCUGACAAAACAGACCACGCCGCUCUACCAAUCAGCAGGAUGUGGGUGAGGCCAGAUAAGAGAAUAAAAGCAGGCUGCCUGGGCCAGCAUUGGCAACCCGCUCGGGUCCCCUUCCACAUCGUGGAAGCUUUGUUCUUUCGCUCUUUGCAAUAAAUCUUGCUACUGCUCACUCUUUGGGUCCACGCUGCUUUUAUGAGCUGUAACACUCACCGCGAAGAUCUGCAGCUUCACUCCCGAGCCAGCGAGACCACGAACCCACCAGAAGGAAGAAACUCCGAACACAUCUGAACAUCAGAAGGGCAGACUCCAGACACGCCACCUUAAGAGCUGUAACACUCACCGCGAGGGUCCACGGCUUCAUUCUUGAAGUCAGUGAGACCAAGAACCCACCAAUUCCGGACACAAUUUCUUGGCUCUCAGUGAUAAAACAGCUAUUCUGAGGAGGAGCCAAGAUGGCCGAAUAGGAACAGCUCCGGUCUACAGCUCCCAGCAUGAGCGACACAGAAGACGGGUGAUUUCUGCAUUUCCAUCUGAGGUACCGGGUUCAUCUCACAAGGGAGUGCCAGACAGUGGGCGCAGGUCAGUGGGUGCGCGCACCAUGCGCGAGCCGAAGCAGGGCGAGGCAUUGCCUCACUUGGGAAGGGCAAGGGGUCAGGGAGUUCCCUUUCUGAGUCAAAGAAAGGGGUGACGGACUCACCUGGAAAAUCGGGUCACUCCCACCCGAAUAUUGCGCUUUUUGGACCGGCUUAAAAAAAACGGUGCACCACGAGAUUACAUCCUGCACCUGGCUCGGAGGGUCCUACGCCCACGGAGUCUCGCUGAUUGCUAGCACAGCAGUUCUGAGAUCAAACUGCAAGGAGGCAGCGAGUCUGGGGGAGGGGCGCCCGCCAUUGCCCAGGCUUGCUUUGGUAAACAAAGCAGCUGGGAAGCUCCAACUGGGUGGAGCCCAC
rnacentral:lncRNA from 1 species